UACGAAGGGGGCGAGCGUUGUUCGGAUUUACUGGGCGUAAAGGGCGCGCAGGCGGCGGACCAAGUCAGGCGUGAAAGCCCCGGGCUUAACCUGGGAGGUGCGUCUGGGACUGGUUGGCUAGAGUUCGGGAGAGGAGCGUGGAAUUCCCAGUGUAGAGGUGAAAUUCGUAGAUAUUGGGAAGAACACCGGUGGCGAAGGCGGCGCUCUGGACCGAGACUGACGCUGAGGCGCGAAAGCGUGGGGAGCAAACAGG
rnacentral:rRNA from 1 species